rnacentral:tRNA from 1 species
GGACUCGUAGCUCAGUUGGAUAGAGCGUUAGACUACGGAUCUAAAGGUCGCAGGUUCGACUCCUGCCGGGUCCACCA